rnacentral:rRNA from 1 species
UUGCACGCUGGCGGCAGGCCUAACACAUGCCAGUCGAGCGGAUGAAGGGAGCUUGCUCCUGGCUUCAGCGGCGGACGGGUGAGUAAUGCCUAGGAAUCUGCCUGGUAGUGGGGGAUAACGUCCGGAAACGGGCGCUAAUACCGCAUACGUCCUGAGGGAGAAAGUGGGGGAUCUUCGGACCUCACGCUAUCAGAUGAGCCUAGGUCGGAUUAGCUAGUUGGUGGGGUAAAGGCCUACCAAGGCGACGAUCCGUAACUGGUCUGAGAGGAUGAUCAGUCACACUGGAACUGAGACACGGUCCAGACUCCUACGGGAGGCAGCAGUGGGGAAUAUUGGACAAUGGGCGAAAGCCUGAUCCAGCCAUGCCGCGUGUGUGAAGAAGGUCUUCGGAUUGUAAAGCACUUUAAGUUGGGAGGAAGGGCAGUAAGUUAAUACCUUGCUGUUUUGACGUUACCAACAGAAUAAGCACCGGCUAACUUCGU